rnacentral:rRNA from 1 species
GGGGAUUGGACAUGGGCGAAAGCUGCAUCAGCCUAUUCCGCGUGAGUGAAGAAGGCCUUCGGGUUGUAAAGCUCUUUCGCAAGGGAAGAAAACUUAUAUUCUAAUAAAGUAUGAGGAUGACGGUACCUUGAUAAGAAGCACCGGCUAACUACGUGCCAGCAGCCGCGGUAAUACGUAGGGUGCGAGCGUUAAUCGGAAUUACUGGGCGUAAAGCGUGCGCAGGCGGUUUUGAAAGUCAGAUGUGAAAUCCCCGAGCUCAACUUGGGAACUGCGUUUGAAACUCCAAAGCUAGAGUAUAGGAGAGGGGGGUAGAAUUCCGCGUGUAGCAGUGAAAUGCGUAGAGAUGUGGAGGAAUACCAAUGGCGAAGGCAGCCCCCUGGCCUAAUACUGACGCUCAUGCACGAAAGCGUGGGGAGCAAACAGGAUUAGAUACCCUGGUAGUCCACGCCCUAAACGAUGUCUACUAGUUGUUGGUGGAGUAAAAUCCAUUAGUAACGCAGCUAACGCGUGAAGUAGACCGCCUGGGGAGUACGGUCGCAAGAUUAAAACUCAAAUGAAUUGACGGGGGCCCGCACAAGCGGUGGAUUAUGUGGACUUAAAUUCGAUGCAACGCGGAAAAACUUUA